rnacentral:rRNA from 1 species
AACGAACGCUGGCGGCAGGCUUAACACAUGCAAGUCGAACGCCCCGCAAGGGGAGUGGCAGACGGGUGAGUAACGCGUGGGAAUCUACCCAGUUCUACGGAACAACUGAGGGAAACUUCAGCUAAUACCGUAUACGCCCUACGGGGGAAAGAUUUAUCGGAAUUGGAUGAGCCCGCGUUGGAUUAGCUAGUUGGUGAGGUAACGGCUCACCAAGGCGACGAUCCAUAGCUGGUCUGAGAGGAUGAUCAGCCACACUGGGACUGAGACACGGCCCAGACUCCUACGGGAGGCAGCAGUGGGGAAUAUUGGACAGUGGGCGCAAGCCUGAUCCAGCCAUGCCGCGUGAGUGAUGAAGGCCUUAGGGUUGUAAAGCUCUUUCAGUGGGGACGAUAAUGACGGUACCCACAGAAGAAGCCCCGGCUAACUUCGUGCCAGCCGCCGCGGUAACAC